rnacentral:rRNA from 1 species
GUAGUUAGCCGGGGCUUCCUCCUUGGCUACCGUCACUUUCUUCGUCACCAAGGACAGAGGUUUACAAUCCGAAGACCUUCUUCCCUCACGCGGCGUUGCUGGGUCAGGCUUGCGCCCAUUGCCCAAUAUUCCCCACUGCUGCCUCCCGUAGGAGUCUGGACCGUGUCUCAGUUCCAGUGUGGCCGAUCAGCCUCUCAGCUCGGCUACCCAUCGUUGGCUAGGUGGGCCGUUACCCCGCCUACUACCUAAUGGGACGCGAACCCCUCCUUCUGCGGAUUGCUCCUUUGACCCCUGAGCCAUGCGACUCUGUGGUCUUAUGCGGUAUUAGCACUUGUUUCCAGGUGUUAUCCCCCUCAAAAGGGCAGGUUGUUCACGCGUUACUCACCCGUUCGCCACUAGCUAUAAAUCCGAAAACCUAUAGCCCGUUCGACUUGCAUGUGUUAGGCACGCCGCCAGCGUUCGUCCUGAGCCAGAUCAAACUCUGA